GACAGAGCAAACGCGUGUUCAGCUGCUGGUCACCAACAGCAGGCCCCGGCGUGGCGGCCAGGCACCGGCGGGCCACCAGCUUCCUGCGGCGUUUGCUGUUAAUGAGCAUAUAGUGGGAUAGACAAAAAACGAAUAUUGGGUCUCCAGUACAUAACGUAUCCAAGGAAGGCAGUGAUACGAACACACAAAAUUGGCGUCAAGGAAUGAAACUCGUUUAUGGCUAUGUGCGUUUCAGGGGGUUUGUGCUUUUGCUCUGCUAAUGAAAUAGAAUAGAGAUGAUUUAUUAGGGAGUCCAAAAAUGCCAUUAGCAUGCUACAUCUGAAACGCAGAUCCUAAUCUUAUUUACCAUUGUCCUAUGUGAGAAAUUUUAAUUACUCUCUAUGGUUUAAAGGAAAGAUACCCCCAGGAAAACCAGGAAUAAUGCUGCAGUAAACUGACUUUCUCAAACAUAAGCUUUCAGCAGUAACACCAGAGAGAACGUGGAAAUGUGCACUGAAGACAAAACUGCCAUCUGUGCUGUGGCCCAGGCUGCAAUGUUAGUGUUGCCUUCAACCUGCCUUCAUCACACCAUCCUCCCAGGACGCGUGUCCAUCCUGCCAUCUUCCUUGUUGCCCUGUCAUCUCUGCCUGUGCUGCUAAAGCUCUUACCCAAGUGUGCCGCCUUGUGUUUGGAGUGAGUAAUGAAAGUGCUCUCACUCACUUUAUAUCCGCUCAAAACACUGCUACUGAGUUUCAUUUCUCGCCUUGUUAAUUUGAGCUCUUCACUCUCUUUGCGUCCCUCCAUGAGCUUGUUUUCUUCCCAUCUACACAUAAUGUAUCUUCACUUUUAAGACCCUUCUAGGCCUGUCCAAGAUGCUGAAAACACUGUAAACUGCCCUGAAAAUGGCACUGGCCUUUCUCACUCAUCCACUUCUCCUUUUCGGUCUAAUUGUGGGUGACUGAAGCUCCUCGUGUGGCAGCCGAGCAGCUCUGGGGGUGCCUCUUCUGCCAGUCUUGCAGCUUACCCGGCAGUAAUGCCACGUCUUCCAGGGCAUGUGGCAUCUGGGGGCCAGAGGCCACCUCCCUGUUAUCACCCCAAAAUGAAGCCUCAGCAGUGA
rnacentral:lncRNA from 1 species